rnacentral:rRNA from 1 species
AACGGCCAUACCAAUGCUGAAUAUGCCGGUUCUCGUUAGAUCACCGAAGUCAAGCAUCAUUGGGCGCGGUCAGUACUUGGGUGGGUGACCACCUGGGAACACCGCGUGCCGUU